AGAGAGAGACAUGCGCGCAUAUCAAUAAGCGGAGGAAAAGAAACUAACAAGGAUUCCCCUAGUAACGGCGAGUGAAGCGGGAAGAGCUCAAAUUUGAAAUCUUAAAGGGUUUCCCUUUACGAAUUGUAGUUUAAAGAAGUGUUUUCUGUUGAGGUUUUGGUAAAAGUUCUUUGGAAUAGGACAUCAUAGAGGGUGAGAAUCCCGUAUUUGACCUUUACUUUCAACUUUGUGAUACACUUUCAAAGAGUCGGAUUGUUUGGGAAUGCAGUCCAAAAUGGGUGGUAAAUUUCAUCUAAAGCUAAAUAUUGGCGAGAGACCGAUAGCGAACAAGUACCGUGAGGGAAAGAUGAAAAGAACUUUGAAAAGAGAGUUAAACAGUACGUGAAAUUGUCAAAAGGGAAGCGUUUGACACCAGUGUUGUUUUUCUGAAAAUCAAUUAAAGAACUGUUUAUGCUAAGCUGUUUAGACUUUAUCAGCUAACUGUUUAGUUUUGAGCUUUUCUUUAAUGCACUUUUCAGUUAACAAGUCAACAUCAAUUUCUUUUGCUGUAAAAAAGCUUGAGGAAGGUGGCUUGAGAUUCGUCUUAAGUGUUUAUAGCCUCUUGCCUAUGCAGUCGGAGAGAUUGAGGUCUGCAGCGUAGAUCCUUCGGGGCUAAAUGCAUUUGUGCUAAGUUAUAGCAUUUUAUAGACAACUUGUUGACUAUGACUUGUCUUGUAGCUUACUCGCUUAUGUUAUUUUACCUACGCUUAGGAUGUUGACGCAUGAGAUAUACGC
rnacentral:rRNA from 1 species